GCCGUGUGGCCGGUCGCGUCCGGAGUGCCGUCCUUUCGGCAGCCCUGGCACCAAGAGAGGACGCGAGGCAGGCGCCGGCGCCCCGCAGCUCGAGCCGCGCGUCCGCGUGUGGACGCGAAGGCCAAGGGCGUCUCGGCCGGCCGGGCAGUCGCUGCGCGGGCCGCCGCCCGGGGUCGCCGACCGCCGCGGGUCCCGGGAGGCCGGGGGUAUUGAAAGAGCAGUCAAAGCCACCAGCGACGGGGGUCGAGAAGGAGGGGGUCGUUCCAGGCUGUGGAACGGAAGCAGAGCCAGGUUGGGUGCCCCGUCUACACCUCCAGAGGUCCCUGAAGGUACGGUGUUGGGAGUGCGGGAGCACGAAGGAAACCCGAGAAGGAAGUGGAGGGCCCUGGCAGCCCGCAUGGACCCGCAUAGGCCACUCAGGCAAGGCUCGAACCACAGAUGGAUCCAAGGCUUGACAACACCCCUCCUGCUGUCUGUGGGAAGCGACGGGCAGGGCAGGAGCUUGGCCAGGGAGGGAAGCGGCCCCCAGCAGCGGGCCGCCCGGGCUUCCAUAUUUUCACCUGGCCUCUUUUCCGUGUCACCCUGCACAACAGCCCCGGGGAGCUGGCCACCUUCGGCCAUUCUUCCUUCCAUAGUCUGUGCGAGCAAUAAACGGAAUCUAGAAAGGGCUCACGACUUCCUUAGUAGCACCUCUGUCAGCCUGUGCUGGACAGAAUGGAAGGAAAAUGAGGCAAAAGGGGGUUGGGGGGGGGGAGGGCAGGGCCCACCCGAUUUGGGGUGCGUACCACAGAUCUCCCCUUGCCCGGGGCCAAAUUCUCUUUUCUGCCCCUUGUCUCCUCCAAGGCUUGAUCGAGCCCCUGGAGGUUUGUUGUAUCCAGAUCUGCCCCAGUCAUUCGACCCGGAGAAACUCCAGUUGGAAGGAGCUCUCAGAUGGACCAGCAAAUUCUAGAGGACUGGAGCUGCCCCAAAACUGUAUUAUGGAAGUUUGCAGCGGUACCGUUGACAUCUUUCUCGACUUUUAUCACAUCUGGGCAACCAUCCGUUAAUCCAUUUUUAUUCUUGAUGCCUUCAGAGUAAAUUCCCCUCCAACAUUAACUAGCAUCCGUUAUUCACAGUCUCUUCCUUUGGAUCCAAAACUUACAAUGAACUGCCCUACUUGUAAGGGAACAUCUGCUGAGUUUUGACAAAUCUGUACAGUUUUGUAACUCAGACCCUACUGAGAUACCGGUAAGAAAGUUCUCUCAUGCUCCUCAGACAGUCCCCACUCCCACCCAGAGGCAACCAGUCAGUACCCUGCCUAGCAAUACUGGAGCACAAAGCAAAAGGAAAAAUCAAAUUUGUGCUUAAUUUUUUGUCAGAACAAUAAAGUAGGUGAAAAGCCGUUGAAAAAUUU